ACCCCAUAGACCACUACGCCUGGAACGGUGAGUGGUUGAAAGCUCAGGCGGUGUAGGAUGGGUCUGCGGCGUAUCAGGUCGUAGGGGGUGUAAUGGACCUCCUAGCCAUCGACGCGUACGGGCUGUGGGAGCAAUAGCCCGGGGACGGAUUCUGAGACACGAAUCCGGACCCUACGGGGUGCAGCAGGCGCGAAAACUUCACACUGCAGGAAACUGUGAUGAGGGAACUCCAAGUGACUGCCCAAUGGGUAGCCUUUUCUUGAAUCUUAAUAGUUCUUGGAAUAAGGGCUGGGAAAGACCGGUGCCAGCCGCCGCGGUUAUACCGGCAGCUCAAGUGGUCGUCGCUUUUAUUGGGCCUAAAACGUCCGUAGCCUGUUUGGUAAAUCUGUGGGUAAAUCAACGAGCUUAACUCGUUGAAUUCUGCAGAGACUGCCAGACUAGGGACCGGGAGAGGUAUGAGGUACUCUGGGGGUAGGGGUAAAAUCCUGUCAUCCUCAGAGGACCACCUGUUGCGAAGGCGUCAUACUGGAACGGAUCCGACGGUCAGGGACGAAGCCUAGGGGCACGAACCGGAUUAGAUACCCGGGUAGUCCUAGGUGUAAACGCUGUGGAUUUGGUGUGUGGGGUCCGCAAUGGGCCCCAUGUGCCGGAGUGAAGAUGUUAAAUCCACUGCCUGGGGAGUACGGACGCAAGGCUGAAACUUAAAGGAAUUGGCGGGGCAGCAC
rnacentral:rRNA from 1 species